ACGGAGGGUGCAAGCGUUAAUCGGAAUUACUGGGCGUAAAGCGCACGUAGGCGGCCUUUUAAGUCAGAUGUGAAAUCCCCGGGCUUAACCUGGGAACUGCACCUGAUACUGGAAGGCUAGAAUGUGGGAGAGGAGAGUGGAAUUUCCGGUGUAGCGGUGAAAUGCAUAGAGAUCGGAAGGAACACCAGUGGCGAAGGCGGCUCUCUGGACCAACAUUGACGCUGAGGUGCGAAAGCGUGGGUAGCAAACAGG
rnacentral:rRNA from 1 species